UACGAAGGGGGCUAGCGUUGCUCGGAAUCACUGGGCGUAAAGCGCACGUAGGCGGAUUGUUAAGUCAGGGGUGAAAUCCUGGAGCUCAACUCCAGAACUGCCUUUGAUACUGAAGAUCUUGAGUCCGGGAGAGGUGAGUGGAACUGCGAGUGUAGAGGUGAAAUUCGUAGAUAUUCGCAAGAACACCAGUGGCGAAGGCGGCUCACUGGCCCGGUACUGACGCUGAGGCACGAAAGCGUGGGGAGCAAACAGGG
rnacentral:rRNA from 1 species